GCAGCUCUGUAGUCUGACCAAUGCUGUCUUAACCUGGCAGCAAAGAAGAACAUUUAACUAGCCAGCCUGGAACUGUCUCUGGUCAAGAUAUUCUUGAGGAUUGUGAUCUUCAUUGUAGAUGUCUUAAUGCUUACCUUUGUCACAAUGUACCGCCUGCCAUCUAUACUAAUGUUCAGGAUCAUGAUAUGGUACAAACGUCAGAAAAGGGGUGUGGCAGUGAAACAUGUCGAGCAUGAUGGCUACAGAUUCUGUUAUUUCUCCCGAGGGGAGGCCGGACCCCAGCCAUCUGUGCUGAUGCUUCAUGGGUUUGCAUUCAACAAGGACAUAUGGUUAAAUGCAAUCAAACUCUUUCCUCAGGAUCUCCAUGUGGUCUGCCUUGACAUGCCAGGUGAUGGAGAAACCACUCGUUUGCUGGGAGAAAGUUAUACAGCAGCAGUUCAGGUUGCAAGGAUACACCAGUUUGUUGAGUGUCCUGGUCUGAACCCAAAGCCUUUCCACCUGGUUGGCUUCUCUAUGGGCGGAAUGGUCGCUGGCAUUUAUGCUGCUCGGUAUCCAUCAGAGAUCUCUGGCUUGUCCCUCCUUUGCCCAUCUGGUCUACAAUACCCAGAAGAUAGCAAUGUAACCAAGUGCUUGAAGGAGCUGCAGCAAUCUAUUAACUUGCAUAGUUUCCUCAAACUUGGCUUAUAUCACCCCAACAUCGCAAACAUGCAGCUCCUAAGAGGAUACCUUGAAGAUGUGAGACCACAUCAGUCUUUUUUUAUACAAUGUUUUUUAGAUAUCUCCAGCACAAAGUCCAAGUACAGCCUUCAUGACAACAUGAACAAGAUUAGAGCUCCCACACAGAUCAUUUGGGGAAAGGAAGACAAGGCAGCAAAAUAGGAGCUUUGUCAAGUCUCUGAUAAACCACCCUUCAUGGCUGAUAGGCUUUUUUAGUCCCAGACUUCACAGGCAGGCCAACCUGCCUUUCUCAGAUGAGACUACAACAGAUGCCACGCUGCUGCUGAUAUGCCACCCCAAUUACCACGGAGGAGGAGGUGGCAGGAACCCCUUGGCCGGAUCGAUACAGCGGAGGCUGUGGCAAUAGCCUUCCAAGCAGUGCCAGCCCAUGGAGGAAGAAGAGGAACAGGAGGAGGAGACACCACACCACGGGGCAAGAGACAGGCUGUAGGCUGGGGUGGGCUGUAUCGUUCUGCCCAGCAGCCCCCUUCCCUCCUGCCUGCUCCUUCUCUGUAAUGUGGGGAGGGUAGAUCAGAGGGGGCCGGGAGGGGGCCACCUGUAUAAAAAGUAAUCGGACGGCAUCCCAAAACAUCCCCCCAGCAAUACACACCUGGUUCUUAUGAACCGGCAUGGUUUUGAAGAACUGGAAUGGUUUCAAAGUGGGAGAAAGAAGGAAGUGGGAUGGUGACGGGUCAGACUCAGUUUUUUCUGUCUGAAAAGGAAGGAAUGGCAUCCCCAUACCGAAUAGCUCAGAUAUAAAGGAGCAUAAUGGAGCUUCCCCCACCCCACAAAAUAUGUCAAGAAUCCUUAGAUACGCAAUCCAUGGGCAUUACUACAUGUUAAAAGAGAUAUAUAUUACCCUGAACACACCCAAUCUCAGAAGCUAAGCAGGGUUAGAUCUGGUCAGCACUUCGACAGGACACUGCCUGGGAACACUGGGUGCCGUAGGCUUAAAGCAAGGCAAUGGUGAACCACCUCUGAAUACCUCUUACCAUGAAAACCCUAUGAACAGAGUAUCCAAAAUGCAACACGAGAUAGUGAUGGAAGAUGAGACCCUCAGGUCAGAAGGCACUCACUGAGCUACUGGGGUAGAACAAAGGACAAGUACGAAUAGCGCUGUGUCUAAUGGCGCAACUGGGUAAAAGCCAAAUGGAAGCCCGGAGGCUGAUGCACACAGAUGCGAAAGGAGAGUCUGGAGUUGUACGAUGUACACAAUAGGAACAUGGAAUGUGAGAAGCAUGAACCAGUGAAAGUUAGAAAUUGUCAAGCAAGAAAUGGAACACAUAAACAUAAGAGAUGGAUUGAUUCCAUAAAGGAAGCCAUAGACCUGAAUUUACAAGAUCUGAACAAGGUGGUUUAUAACAGAUGCUAUUGGAGGUAGCUGAUUCUUAGGGUCACCAUAAGUCGUAAUUGACUUGAAGGCACAUAACAACAAACAUGAGGUAUCGUAAACUGCCCUAGAAGUACAUAAUUGAAAACAGUUAUGGAAACUAUUAAAACAAAGCAUAAAUAACGCAAGGCUAGCCAGUGUGGCGUAGUGGUUAAGGUGUUGGACUACGACCUGGGAGACCAGGAUUUGAAUCCCCACACAGCCACGAAGCUCACUGGGUGACCUUGGGCCAGUCACUGCCUCUCAGCCUCAGAGGAAGGCAAUGGUAAACCCCCUCUGGAUACCGCUUACCAUGAAAACCCUCUUCAUAGGGUCACCAUAAGUCGGAAUCGACUUGAAGGCAGUCCACAACAUAAAGCUGCUGUAAGGAACAGGGGAGGGCAGGAGAUCUGUGUCUCUUGUAACAUGUACAUCUUCCCUAAGAGCACCUGCAGAUGAUCAAACAAUCUCUGCAAAGCCAGUCUGCCUCCUACCCUCCUGCUGCCAAAGGGUUCAACUGCAGCAUCAUGGACACUGUGAGGUAAAGGCUUGAUUUCUACACUGGUACAGAAAGGUCCUCUCCUGCAGGGCACAGCCAGCACUUUUUGGACAUCUGUAUUUAUCCUACCAAUUUAUUAUGGAUGAAUUAACCAUGCACUACACAGAUGUGGGAAGAUAUAGUGUUGAUAUUUUCAGCUUUUGUUUUUUACUCAUUUAUUGUGGAGGGCAAGAUGGUAAAAAAGAAAUGACCCAUUGAAAAAAGGAGUGGGGUGUGACAUCUUCAGACAAAUGUUCAGGGGGAAAUGAGUGGGUUGGUUUACCUUAAUAAUAACAUUACAAGGUUGCCAAAUGGAGUGAGUUCUUUUUUAAAAAACAAACACUACUGAAUACUUCUUCUAUUGAAGAAGAGUUAAAUUUUAGAGCGGUGCAUUAUUAAAUUCUGAUGGGUAAGCUCCCAUUGCCUUGUUUCAGAAUUGGCCUUGGUAGACUAUGCUAUUUUUAAACAAUUAAAACACUGCUAAACGUUUUUUCUGCUCUCGGUUUGGAAAUGUGAAUCCCUUUGUGUACCUGGUUAUAGCUCCACAAAGGCUGCAAAAUAAGGCAAGGGCCCUUCAACAGCCAGCCAACUUCUUUGGGUAGGUGGGGCUUAGUACAUUACAGGCUCAGUCAACCAAAUUAUUUAUUUAUAUUUAUGGAUCAUUUUCUAUGAAACAUCUCGAUGCAAUUUAACAAUAAAAACAUCAACAAUAAAAACAUAUAUAGAAACACUUUCAUAUAUAAAAACAAUUAAAACAAUUUUGUAUAUAUAAAAACAAUGUCAAAUCCUAUGUUUUAUCCUACAGACUAGGAUAAAAAUCUCCAUUUAAAAGGCUUGUUGAAAAAGUAAAGCCUUCGGUUGGUACCAGAAAGACAACAGAGAUGAUGCCUCUCUGACAGGUAAAAGGAAGGGGUUCCAAAGAUUAGGUGCUGUCACACUAAAGGCUCGAUUCCUACAUUGGUACAGAAAGGUCCUCUCCUGCAAGACAGAAUGAUUGGUUAGGAAUAUAAGGGGUGAGAUGAUCUUUUAAGGAUUCCUUGUCGCAAGCUGUAUAGGGCAUUGUAUACCAGUAUCAGCACCUUGAAUUUAGCCUAGUAGCUAAUUGGCAGCCACUGCAUUUCUUUCAGCAGCAGCAUAGCAUGAUGGUGACAGUCCAUCCCAGUCAGCUGUCAAGCCACUGAUUUGCACUAGCUGCGGUUUCCAGGCUUCAGUUGGAUCAGGGUGCUUGCAGAGACAACCACUUACAAAACUGUCUCAGAGGAACUCUGGGAACUCUCCAAGGUGCUCUGGAUUCCUGCCUUGAAUUCCUAACUCAGAAUAUUGACUUGGGACACGUCCGCACCAUACAUUUAAAGCAUAUCCAACACACAUUUAAAUCACAUAACUUCCUCCAAAGAAACAUGGGAACUGUAGUUUGCUAAUGUAACCCCUAUGGGUUAUAUUGGUUUGGUCCAGUGGGUGGAGAAACCUUAUGGAAGGAUUGUAUUAAGGAGUUGAGUACAAACCGUGGGGAAGCUGAAGAGAAAAGGAGCUGUUAAUGCCAGGGAGUAAGGACUAGGCCCUUGUCACCUUGAAUUAGGUAAUGGGGUUUUACAAUUAUGUGUGUAAAGGGGAGGGAAGAGUAAAUUAAUUCUUUUGUGGCUUUAUGUAUUUGAAUUUAAAUUAUAUUUUAUUUAGGG